CGUCACUUUCCGAGGGCGGGGUCGUGUCUGUAGACUGGCACAUCAUCAUCAUGCAGGAUACAUUGUUGCGGCUGCAAUGAUGUACGAGUAGGAAUAAGAAGACGCGCUGCAGGUACGGCGAGAGAUUCUUUGGUUUCACACGCACCCCUAUAAAACCCGUGUCUCCCAUAAUGUCGGGCGGGGAUCUUCGCGUUCUACGCCAAGAGCCAGGGCAGGAGAGCCCGAGGAUGCCGGCCUGGAAACGCGAGAUCCUUGAGCGGAGAAAAGCGAAGGGCGGCGGGUCCGGAGCAGGUGCCGAGUCCGUCGCAUCUCGACUUAACGGCGAAGUAACGGGCAGCAAAAGCAAGGACGAUAUUACCAGCCCACAUUCUAGCAGGAACUAUACCAUUACCGCUGCCAAACGCGCGACCAAAAGCCCAGAUCUAUCACCGGUGAAAACAAAAGAGCACUGGCCAUCCGCGGACCCGAGCCGCACGGAGGAGAGAACGGCAAGAGACAACGGAGCGCAGGAGAGCCUGGUAUUGCAAGAGAGCUUGGGUCCGCUGCAGGAAAACCCUUUCAUUAAACUGGAAAAAGAACGCAAGAAGCGUCAGAGCCAAGACAACACGUCGCGACCUGUACAGCACAUCCUCGAGUUAUACGGCAGCGUUCCCGGGAUACGGACUAUACGCGCUGAGAAUAUCAUCAUUAUUGAAUCCGACCCGGAGUACUUUUCGGAAGGAUGUGGUUUGAAGCAUGCGUCGAAACUGCAGCAGAACGGCACCAUGAGCGGAUAUAGCUCCCUCAACGACCUGUUAGACCGGAGAGGUAGUCCGGUUACGGAGAUACGCGCGAAGGAAGUGGUCAUUUACGAUACUGCGCUUAGUAAAAGCGAGGAGAACCUCAGCACGCUGGGACGACCGGCUUCUGCCCCGCUGGAGGGGCAAGGAAGGGUGAGUCGCAUGCUACAAAAAUUUGACAGGAAUUAUGGCAAGUUGCAGCCCAAGUCACGCAGCACAGAAAACCUCCUGGACUUGGAUUCCAGUCCUAUCAGGCCAAGCUCCAGACCCAAGCCAGAUGUGGUGCCAAAAUGCCCAGUGUCUCCGCAAGCCGGCUCUCCACACAGCAAGGUCUUCCAAAACGUCCAGUCUUCCAUGAGCAAUCAUCACUCCUCUCCUAGUGACUCAGGGAGUAGUACACCUGUUUCUGGAUCCCCUCAGUUAAUGUCUUCCACACGCAGACGUUUCGAGGGGAGCGGGGGAAGAAGCGUCACUGUGUAUCCCAAGGAGGACACUGAGAGGCCUCUGUCCAAGCCUGUUAGAGAACGGGACUGGGACAGCACAGAUGGGGCCUCCAAAGCCAAGGUGCCAUGCUCUCCGGAGAGCCACCGUGCCCGUGCCGACUGUACUCCUAGCCCCACAUCACCCCCCUUAUCACCCAGCUUUGAGAUCCGCCCGUCCCCUCGCCCGGAUCUUUCUCUCCUUCCACCCGGUGAUCUACAGGCCCGUGCACUCGCCAACUUGCGACUUCAGUCUCGCAAUUCCUUCACCGUCAUUCCCAAGAGUCGUGCAGCCAUUUCAUCACCUGGCAGCACUGCCCCAUCCAGCCCUGUCCUUUCCCCCCCAUCCCCACGACCCCUGGUGGGUGUGGCAGCUUCAGAGCCCGCAGUGCCAACCCCCUCGCCUGCUUCUUUCAUGCCUUCCACACCAAAGCUUACAGAAAAGGUGACCAUAGAAGCCAAAACAGGGUCUCCGCAACAUACCCCACCUGCCACACCCACCUCUCCAACCCCAACUUCUCCACCCUCAUUUGGCUCACCCGUCAAAUCAGUUCCAUCUCCAAAGGAACCUCCGGUUGAUAAGCUGCCUGUCACAAACAUUGAUGACAUAGUCGUGGAACCCACGUCGCACGCCCUGAGCCCUGCGGUGCAGAGGCGCAAAGGAAAUACGUUUACAGUCGUUCCAAAACGGAGGCCCGAGGCCCAGUCUGGCCCUGCUGAGACACCAGAAGUUGUUAGUGAAUCUCUGAGCACACCACAGGCCCCUUAUGCCAAUCUGGGAACCCUGAUUAAAAAGCGUUACCCUGCUGCAGAGGAGAUAGAGGUCAUUGGGGGCUACCUCUCCCUUGGGCGAUCCUGCCUCUCGAAGACUGGCUCAACAGGAAAAAAGCUGAAAAUAUCCUUCAACGAGUCCAGCCUGCAGAGCACUUUCGAAUACCCGUCCGAGAGCAGUGUGUGGGACAGCGGAGAGGAUGAGGAGGAAGGAGAGGAAAAAGGAGAAGAAGAUGAUGGAGGGAUCAUUGCAGGGAGGAUAAGCAUUCCCCGCGCCAGCUACACCAGCUCUCCCACUCACUCCAACAACACCACGGAUCUUUCCAGUUACACACCCAAACACUCAGUGGAGUUUAACGCCUGGCAAGAACACAAGCUUGAUGAGUCUGCUCACCAGGGGGAAGAUACCUCACAGAGUACAGAAGAGGUCAUGGUAAGAAAUAAGAAUAAGUACACAAUUGUGGUGUAAAAUGAGAAGAACAUAUUGGUUCCUGUCAAUGUAAAAUGAGGGCAUUAUGAGGUCUCUAUGGAAUUGCCUGCCAGUUGCUAGGGUGUUCUGGGUGUUUGCUUUCUGGCCCGAGUGAAAAUAUUCCUCCCUCAAUUCUCUAUUCCUCUAUGGGAAUGACACUCAUUAAAAUGCAUUGAGUCCCAUCAGUUAUUAUUUUUGUUCUGUGUGUCUACAGAAUACAAUAGUCACUCUUGAAGUCACAGUGGAAUACAAGCAUACAAACACUUAAGCAAACAUUUAGCACAUUUAGAAACUGCAAAUAAGAAGCACACUUCCAUUCAAAAGUUUGGGUUCAGUAAGAUUUAUUUAUUUAUUUUUUUAAAGAAAUCACUUUAAUUCAGCAAGGAUGCAUUAUAUUCAUCAAAAGUGAAUUUAAAAUGUUACAAAAUUACAAAAUAUUAAUAAUUUUACAAAAGUUGCUGAUUAUUAAUGUUUAAUUCGUCAAAGAAUCCUGAAAAAUGUAUCAGUUUCCACAAAAACAUUGAGUAUAUUAAGCAAAUAUUAACUUUGAUAAUAAUACACUCUGAUAAUAAGAAAAAGUCCUUAGGUAUAAAAUCAGCAUAUUAGAAUGAUUUCUGAAGAAUCGUGUGACACUGAAGACUGGAGUAAUGACUGUACUGGGGUAAAGUAUACAUUUUUAAGUAUAUUAAAAUAAAAAGCAGGUAUUUUAAAUUGUAAAAAUAUUGGCAAGAUUACUGUUUUUACUGAAGGUUUGAUCAUAUUAAUGCACAUUACAUUUAUUUAUGCAAAUAAAAAUGACCAUUUUUGACUCUAAUAUGUGAAAUAGUGCAUUCCUUUGAACAUUUUAGGGUUUGUUAUUGUCAGAUAUUUUUGAAUGAAUGAGGCAUUUAUGUAGCACUUUCAUUGUGUGUUGCUGUACACCCAAAGCACUUUACAAUCAUAUCUCUCCUCAACCACCACCAGUGUGCAGCAUCCACUUGGAUGAUGUGACGGCAGCCUCAAUACAGCAACGCCAGUGUGCUCACCACACACCAGCUACAGAUGACUGAACAAAUAUUAGUGAGAUGUAUUACCAGUAAUUUUAUCAGCUUCAGAUAGUUUGGAAAAUAGAUAGCACAUCUCUCUUGAAGAGGCCAGAAAGUCUCAAGGUAUUGAUUACUAUAUUACUAUAUUUGCACAAAUGGUACAAGACAAGUUGCACACCAAAGUUUAAUACUUGGGUUCAAGAGUAGAACAAACACUUGAGAAACCGUAAUGACCAGUACAGAAUCAAAUCCUGAAAAGUUUCCAUAUUUCAUCAUGCAAACUCUCUUUUUUUUGUUCACUAGCUGACACCUGCUGAUAGCUCCUCUCUAUCAGACUUCAGCAGUGAACCAGCCCUCUAUUUCUAAACCUUCCAGAAGUCUGGAAAAUACGGGACCAACCAUUGCCUGCCAGCACGAGCCUGGAUGCAAGGAAAUAACUUCCAGAACAACGGGACCAGUAGCAACCAGCACGUAAACGUACAUUGCAUAUUCCAUGUCUGUACACCAUCAUCGUCAACAGCAGGACUGUCCUCAUUACUGAUCCACGCAACGGAUGUGUCACUCACAUUUGACCUCCUGUUGCCACCGAUUGUGAUUGUGAUGGACUCUGUUAACAUGGAAAAUUCCACUCUUGAGCUUCAUUCUUCCAUCACGUACUUGCUUUACGUAUGUAAUCCUCACCUCAUGAAAGUGACCAAAUUUACAAAAGAGAGAACGAUAAAAGACUGUUCAUAAAAUAGAGAAGGAACUUGAGUGUGUGUAAUGGGACUCUAGAAACUCUAGAAAGAGGACAAUAAUAGGGUGAAGCAACAAAAAAUGAAAUAGUGACUUAUGUAUGACUGGUAAAAGGGUGCCACAAUCCUUGUUCUUUGUGAUGUUUUUGUAUGUGCAUGUGUAGGUCUGUACUGACAUGACUCCCAAACUAUAGAAGUCCUCCAUUUUAGUUUCAUAUGUUUCCUUUGUAUGUCUGUGUUUCAUUCAAGGUAGACGUUUCUGAUGCACAGACCAAUAAUAUACAGCUGAAAUACUAACAACAUGUUAAUGUUGACUUAGUGAUUCUAGAUCUGUUUUAAAGAGCAGCUCUUAAUUGGUGAGCUGGAAAGCACAUUCAUAUUGCUAUUCUUUUUUUUUUAUGGUAGUAGAAUUUAUUAAUCACUCAAAAUAUUAAUCAUAAUUUGGAUACCAAUGCAAUCAUAAAUCCAAGUCAGUCUUGUGAAGACAUGCCCAGGUUACAUUUCACCCCAAAGUAAAUUGCAUAAAUAAAAUGAAAGAUAUUUUUAGGACUACCAUUGUGACAUUUUUGACAUUUAAACAUGUUUCCUUUCUAAGUUCUCGUUUUUACAAUACAUGUGAGUUUUUCCCCCAGUAUUCUCAGUGAUUUUCAUGAACAUAAUCUAAUGUUUUUACAGUUAAAAAAAAAAAAAAAAUCCUGCAAUGCAGUUUUCAUUGUAUUAAUAAAUAAUUUUUCACAUUAAUGGUAAUGAUAAUUUUAUUGGGAUGAGUUGUGAUAUUCACCUUGUAAUAAUCCUUAAAAUACUCCUAAAAUAUCCAAAACACUUCAGUUUAUUUAUUCCCUCACUUUUGGAGUGAAAUAUGACCUGGAAGUGUUCUUGACAGGUUUUGUGAGAUUUACGCUGUGCGAAAUUGCACUGGGAUUGACCUACAUAUGCUUUAGUAUGUCAGUUUAAGCAAAUGCAUCAGUUUGUCAAUAUUCAUGCUUAAAUUUAUUUACUUAAUGUGUUUUGAACUGGACAUUGCAGUACGAAUGGGGAGCGGUCAGUUUUAGUUAAGAUGGAAACAUUAUUUUGUGGUUUUGUGAGUGGGCACGCUGUAUGCAUGGGCCGUGUGUGUGCGAAACAUGAAGACUACAUACACACAAUGCCAACUGACUAGAGUGUGUCAUAUCUGUUAAAUGACUUUGGCGUGUCUGCUCACGUGUCUCCUCAGUCUCUCCGACCAGUAUUGAUGUAUAGUUUGUACACUCCAGGAUGAAGUUUUCUUAAUUUAUUCCAUUCGUCUUUUAUCGCUUUUUCAUAUUUGUAGUCACAGGGCAAACAGUAGCACUGAAGUGCUUGGGCAUUUUUUUUUUUUUUUUUUUUUUUUUUUUUUUUGAAUAAUUUGACAUCAUGUACAAAGUUACAUGAGUGUUAUUAGGACAGCUUACAUCUUAGUCCUAUGCUUUUGUAUUCAUCCAUUUGCACUGUUUUGUUUUUGCUUUAUUUUGCACCUUACACAGUUCUUGGUUGGAAUAAUGCUUUUCAGGAAUCUAAUAUCACUUUCAUAUUUGAAUUUAUUAUACAAAAAUUAGUAUGUGUCCAUUGCGAGCAUAACAUUGACUUGAAGCACCAGCUAUAGCCCUUAUCAGCUUAAAAACAGCUGAUCAAUAUUUUCUGCCUGAUUUCUUUGAGACACUGGCUUUUUUCACACCAUGCACAAUUCUGAUUUGGUUUUCUAAUUCAGUCAUUAGGACUGACUGUCUGUACUGUUAUUCUGAAGGUAGUGAAUUUUGAUUGAUUUGUUCAAACAGUGCAGUCAAUAUCUAGUAUAUCUACAUCACAGCUGAUGUCAGCUUGUGGAUGUCAGUGGUGAUGUAGAUAUACCGGACAUGGAGAGCUUUUAUUCAGCAAGGAUGCAAUCAAUUAAGCAAAAGUGACAGUACAAACUUUAACAUUGUUACAGAAAUGUCUAUUUCAGAUUAAUGAUAUUUGUUUGAACUUUCUGUUGAAGUAUCACAAUUAAGCAACAUUUUCAACAUUGACAAGAAGAAGAAAUUUAACUCGAAAGCAUGUUAGAAUGUUUGCUGACAAUUCAGCUUUACCAUGUUUUUACAUUUUGAAAUAAUAUUAAAAUAUAAAAUGAUUAUUUUAGGUUGCAAUAUAUCUGUUAAUAAUAUUACUGUUUUUACUGUAUUUUUGCUAAAUGCAGCCUUGGUGAGUAUAAGAGAUGUUGCAAAAACAAUGUCUUAGUGAUGGUUUUUAUUUUGAAUUUUUUUUAAUUGCUGCCUGUCUGAAAGCUUUUGAACCCAUAGUUUUUUUGUAUAUGUCACAUAAUUAAGGGCAAAUUUUAUUCAAGAGAAUGUUCUAAUAAGUCUAUUUCACCAAGUGUUAGAAUUCAACCAAGUCUUACUGUACAUUCUAAUUCAGUAAGUCACUUUAGUACUCAGCUUAUCCCAGUCUACCACAGAACCUCCGAAUAUUCUUUGCAAACGUGAAAUAUUCUUGAGGGAAGUAUAUUAGAUGUUUAGAGGGUUGGGAACUAUUGCUUUUGUGUCUUAAAAUGUAAUGCCACUUCAAGUGCUUCAUUAGUUCCUGUAACUCUAGUCAAGCUGCUCAUUGCUCUGGUGGUUAAUGUACUGUAUGUUAAAAUGUCCUCAUCCUUUCUGUUUUCUUCAUCAAGAGAAUAUUAAAUGUACAAUUUGGUUUUGAUGAAUUUAGAGGGGAAAAUGUCAAACACAAGAAAAUGUUCAAUAAACAAAUUAAAGAUAUGAA